GACGAACGCUGGCGGCGUGCCUAAUACAUGCAAGUAGAACGCUGAAGAGAGGAGCUUACUCUUCUUGGAUGAGUUGCGAACGGGUGAGUAACGCGUAGGUAACCUGCCUUGUAGCGGGGGAUAACUAUUGGAAACGAUAGCUAAUACCGCAUAACAAUGGAUGACACAUGUCAUUUAUUUGAAAGGGGCAAUUGCUCCACUACAAGAUGGACCUGCGUUGUAUUAGCUAGUAGGUGAGGUAAUGGCUCACCUAGGCGACGAUACAUAGCCGACCUAAGAGGGUGAUCGGCCACCCUGGGACUGAGACACGGCCCAGACUCCUACGGGAGGCAGCAGUAGGGGAUCUUCGGCAAUUGGGGCAACCCUGACCGAGCAACGCCGCGUGAGUGAAGAAGGUUUUCGGAUCGUAAAGCUCUGUUGUAAGUCAAGAACGGGUGUGAGAGUGGAAAGUUCACACUGUGACGGUAGCUUACCAGAAAGGGACGGCUAACUACGUG
rnacentral:rRNA from 1 species